rnacentral:rRNA from 1 species
GGCUGCAACUCGCCUACAUGAAGUCGGAAUUGCUAGUAAUCGCGGAUCAGCAUGCCGCGGUGAAUACGUUCCCGGGCCUUGUACACACCGCCCGUCACACCAUGGGAGUCGGAAAUGCCCGAAGCCGGUGACCAAACCAAUAAGGAAGGAGCCGUCGAAGGCAGGUCUGAUAACUGGGGUGAAGUCGUAACAAGGUAUC